AUGAAUUUGCUGGAGCAGGCAGAAGAGCUCAAGGCUUUUGAGAGGAGACUUACUGAAUAUAUUCAUUGUUUGCAACCUGCUACUGGAUGUUGGAGAAUGCUUCUUCUAGUGGUAUCUGUCUGUACGCUACUGGUGCCUGGAACUGGUUGAUAGAUCCAGAGACACAAAAGGUGUCCUUCUUCACAUCAUUAUGGAAUCAUCCAUUUUUUACCAUUAGCUAUAUCACUCUAAUAGGCUUGUUCUUUGCUGGAAUACACAAGAGAGUAGUUGCACCAUCAAUUAUAGCUGCUCAACGUCAAACGAUAUUAGCAGAAUACAAUAUGUCUUGUGAUGAUACAGGAAAACUAAUUUUGAAACCUAGGCCUCAUGUUC
rnacentral:lncRNA from 1 species